UACGGAGGGUGCAAGCGUUAUCCGGAUUCACUGGGUUUAAAGGGUGCGUAGGUGGCUAUAUAAGUCAGUGGUGAAAGCUCGCGGCUCAACCGUGAAAUUGCCAUUGAAACUGCAUAGCUUGAGUACAGUUGAAGUGGGCGGAAUACAUCAUGUAGCGGUGAAAUGCUUAGAUAUGAUGUAGAACACCGAUUGCGAAGGCAGCUCACUAAGCUGUAACUGACACUGAGGCACGAAAGCGUGGGGAGCGAACAGG
rnacentral:rRNA from 1 species